rfam:Picea glauca, whole genome shotgun sequence.
UAAUGUAAUGACUACAACGUUAAUUCACUAGAUCCCAUUAGGAAUCUGUAGUUAAGUGUGCUUGGGUUAGAGUAGUAAUGGGAUGGGUGACCUCCCGUGAAGUCCUAGUGUUUUACAUUCC